GUCUACCGCCAUACCACCCUGAACAUGCCUGAUUUCAUCUGAUCUUGGAAGCUAAACAGGGAUGGGCCUGGUUAGUAUUCAGAUGAGAGGAAAGGAGGAAGAGAGAGAUC
rnacentral:rRNA from 1 species